AAAUAAUCACCAAGUUUACUAGGAUCAAGUCUCACACAUAUGAUGACUCAUGGUACAAAAACGAAUGUCACAUCUUUACUAUAUAAUAGGAGUUCUGUACAAAAUAGUUAAAUAAUUACAUCAUAUGAAGACAAUGAUCCAGCAACCAAAGUUGACUAGGAGACGACGGUCUAGACCUCUCACGAACUCAUCUCAGCAUCCUUCACGCGCCUCAUCCUGUGGUACCUAUUCUUGACCUGGGGGAUGUGAGUAUAGCAAGAGUGAGCUCACAUACGUUCAUCGCUCAACAAGUUGUGGGGAAUAAUGUGCAUGAACUCACCAAAGGUGGGAGCUCAUGUGAAGUGUAAGGCUUACCAAAGAGGAUGGUUAAAGCUGAACAUUGCUUUUAAUGUUGGUCAAAAUUUUAUUAGCAGUUACUAGGUAUAAGUAGAUACCAACCCAAUUUAGUAAGAGAUCGAAAUUAAUAACAACACCCACAAUGCAAUGCAUAUGACAAAUUAAGUUUAAUUCCAUAAAUUAAUCAUGUGGGUGUCCGAGCUGCUCAUGACCGUGAGCACAGUUGAUAUACCGGUUUUACACUCUACAGAGGUUGCACAUCUUUACCCACAAGUCGUGUUACCCAUUUUCCAUGGGGUUGAUCGGACCCCAUACACCUCUACCAAGGAAGCAAGGCAGGGUACCACUAUGAGGCCUUUAUAAAGUUACACUAGCUUCAGAAAACCCGCCACAGUUCUAGGGAGUGUAACAUAGGAAUCCCUCGUCUGAAAAGACAUCACAACAAAAUCAGCCCUCGAACCUUUCUAUACCGACCACUCCCCUACUGUCCUUGCCCCUUUCGGGUAAGGUAGUCCUCCACUAGCUUUCCUAAUUAGUCAGCCAAGGGCGUCCCGUACCACCCUUGUGAUAGCACUGUUUUCCCGGGUGGUUCUCCAUAUUCCAAUUAAAAAUAUGAUUUUAUCAUGAACAAAAAUUUAACAACAUAAUUGGAACAUGAUCAUAAUAAAACAUUAGUUUCCUAAAACCAGGUAGAGCAAUAGCAAAUCUACCCAAUAAUUCAUCUGUUUGCAAGGUGUGGGAUAAACAAUGCUAGGGAAAACCUAUUACGUCCCAUCAAAUUAACCUGAGCGUAUCACAGUGAUUAACAACAAACAUUAUUAGGUAAAAAGGAGUAAUCAAGAGCACAACUUGCAUUAGACUCUAGAUUCUAGGUACCAGGAUGGUCUUCAGAUUCUAAUGACCUCACUGCUAUUCGUAGCAAUACAAGCAAACAUGGUAUAUGCAAAAUUAACAUGACACCAAACAUAAGCACAAGCUGCAUAAUAAUAUUCUACGCGUCGCUACGAGAUCGUAGGUUCGAGAACCGCUAAAUUCGGAGCUACAGUUAUGAAGUUAUGAUUUUCUAAAGAUUUAGGAGUGGGGUACAAAAGAGAUUAAAUACAUAAUCAAUUUAGGUUUCAUAACAAAAUAAAGCUACCAGGGGAUAAACAAUAUUAUUAUGGAUCUAAUGCAAUUGGAAUGGAUCAAAACAUAUUCAAAAUGCAUAAAAUAUAGAUUAUCUAAGUUUAUGGAAUUAUUCUUAUACUUAAAAUCAUUUUCAGAUUCGUUUUAUAUAAAUUAUCUUCCUUAGUGGACGGCAGGCAUGAUUCUCUAUAAGUACAGGGGUUUGAUUACAAAUUUUAGGACUAGUUUGCGAGGUUCUUUGAACCUAAGAGAACUGCAGGUUGAUUUUGUGAAAGCCGAGGGGCUCUUUUGCACAUUGCCGGGUCCGAAGGGGUACACAGCCAUCCUAGCCACCCGAUCUAACCUAAACGGUCCAGAUUAGAUUUUAAACUCAUGUGAACCAGUAUUCAUCCACCACCGUUGGAUCAUGGAUCAACAGUCCGGGAUGACCCAUGCCCAUAUGUAAUCUUCUCCUCUCGUCUCCGAUCCAACGGACCAAAUCAGAACGUGAAGCAGGGGGGUAUGGACCUUUUAAUCCUGGCGCAAACAACGAGAUCUACGGUACACAUGCCACCCACCAAAUUUUAUCCUUUAUACUCGAUCUCCACCGUCGAUCCAAGGACCGAUGACCACCACUCUUCUCCCUCAACCCUGCUCUCUCAACGCGGAGCACAGGGCUUGUGCGACGGCGGCCAUGGCUGGCAAACAGCGCCGGUGCCCUGGUACACCAUUAUCAUGAACGAUCGGUUCUACGCUAUGAAUAGGACAAGGCGAACGGCAGGGGUGGGUAGUUACCAGCUAUUGGGCCGCGCAGACUCCCAUCGACGAUGGAUGGAGCAGGGCUGUCCUUACCGAGCCCGACGAGCAAUUGCCACCAAUUUUUGGCCACCAGAGCUCAACGAUAACCAUCGACACGCUCCUCAAGAGAAUGCGAAGCUCCCUGACCCCAUGCUCCACCCCGAGCGACGACGUUCCUCAGUUUCCCCCGUGGCGGCGUCUCUUCUUCCGCACCGAUCCCCCCGGUUCUUGUGGCGAGGCAUUACGCGUUCUUGGG
rnacentral:lncRNA from 1 species